AUUCACACAAAAAACU
rnacentral:sRNA from 1 species